rnacentral:rRNA from 1 species
GGGACACGUGGUAUCCUGUCUGAAUAUGGGGGGACCAUCCUCCAAGGCUAAAUACUCCUGACUGACCGAUAGUGAACCAGUACCGUGAGGGAAAGGCGAAAAGAACCCCGGCGAGGGGAGUGAAAAAGAACCUGAAACCGUGUACGUACAAGCAGUGGGAGCACGCUUAGGCGUGUGACUGCGUACCUUUUGUAUAAUGGGUCAGCGACUUAUAUUCUGUAGCAAGGUUAACCGAAUAGGGGAGCCGAAGGGAAACCGAGUCUUAACUGGGCGUUAAGUUGCAGGGUAUAGACCCGAAACCCGGUGAUCUAGCCAUGGGCAGGUUGAAGGUUGGGUAACACUAACUGGAGGACCGAACCGACUAAUGUUGAAAAAUUAGCGGAUGACUUGUGGCUGGGGGUGAAAGGCCAAUCAAACCGGGAGAUAGCUGGUUCUCCCCGAAAGCUAUUUAGGUAGCGCCUCGUGAAUUCAUCUCCGGGGGUAGAGCACUGUUUCGGCAAGGGGGUCAUCCCGACUUACCAACCCGAUGCAAACUGCGAAUACCGGAGAAUGUUAUCACGGGAGACACACGGCGGGUGCUAACGUCCGUCGUGAAGAGGGAAACAACCCAGACCGCCAGCUAAGGUCCCAAAGUCAUGGUUAAGUGGGAAACGAUGUGGGAAGGCCCAGACAGCCAGGAUGUUGGCUUAGAAGCAGCCAUCAUUUAAAGAAAGCGUAAUAGCUCACUGGUCGAGUCGGCCUGCGCGGAAGAUGUAACGGGGCUAAACCAUGCACCGAAGCUGCGGCAGCGACGCUGAUGCGUUGUUGGGUAGGGGAGCGUUCUGUAAGCCUGCGAAGGUGUACUGUGAGG